rnacentral:lncRNA from 1 species
CUAUCGCUGCCCUCUAUUGCACCGUCGUUGCCCUCUAGGGCACAUCGUCUCUCUUGUUCGCUACAGCCCAUGUGUGCAAUUGUCCACUAAAUUCAUAUGAAUAUGUUGUGGCUAAAUCUCUGCUUUUAUCUGCUCAUUAUGAUGUUUAGAAUAUGUGCACACUAAGGGUUGAGUUUGACAUGGUGAAGGUUCAUGUACAUACAAGGGUAAGGGAUAAAAGUUGGAACUAUUGAACGCGCUUCAGGGUACCCUUUGUGCUGUCAGGCGUGAGCAGCCUUUGUGAGAGGAUAUGAUGUUAUUCACAAACUAUUUACAGAGCUGGCUUACUGAUACAAGACAUGAGGAUAUACAAGAGUUCUUCGAACUUGAAUAAAAGUUGGUGAUGCUGCACCAAUGACGUAUAUUGAGUCACUGCAAUGCUUAUUGAAUUUGGGUCGACUAAAUUUAAGCCUACUCAAAUUAUACAACAGUUAUUAAUCUCAAAACAUUGCGAAAUUAACAAUGCGUUGGAUCCCUGAACAAGAUCUCAGCUUAGCAGGAGUUUUGCAUCUCCGGCUCCACAACCAGCUCAAAGACCACCAUUGGAUCCCUCGAGAAGAUCUCAGCUUAGCAGGAGUUUCGCAUCUCCUAAAGAAGGCAAAAGCUUAGAAGCAGAGGAUUAAACCUUAUUGUCACUGGAAUCAUCCCUUCUAAAAGGUUAAUCAUGGUAGGUACGGGUCACUGUGGGAUAACUGGAUUUGUGUCGCCUCUGAGAUUGGUUAGAACGGGUCAUCUGUUACUAGAAAUGGAAUUCGGUAUAUAUUAUUAGAAGCUUUCGAGCGAAGUUUUAUGACAGAGAAAUUCUCACUCAAAAGAACGUUUAAACUCCUCAUGUAAACAUUUGGAAUUUGAAAUAUGUUACUUAUUACAUAAUGUUUUGCUAAUACUUGGAGUAUGUUUCACAUCAAUAUAUUAUUGAAGUUUUAAUAGUAUGAUUGU